ACGAACGCUGGCGGCGUGCUUCACACAUGCAAGUCGAACGGAAAGGCCCUGCUUUUGUGGGGUGCUCGAGUGGCGAACGGGUGAGUAACACGUGAGUAACCUGCCCUUGACUUUGGGAUAACUUCAGGAAACUGGGGCUAAUACCGGAUAGGAGCUCCUGCUGCAUGGUGGGGGUUGGAAAGUUUCGGCGGUUGGGGAUGGACUCGCGGCUUAUCAGCUUGUUGGUGGGGUAGUGGCUUACCAAGGCUUUGACGGGUAGCCGGCCUGAGAGGGUGACCGGCCACAUUGGGACUGAGAUACGGCCCAGACUCCUACGGGAGGCAGCAGUGGGGAAUAUUGCACAAUGGGCGGAAGCCUGAUGCAGCAACGCCGCGUGCGGGAUGAAGGCCUUCGGGUUGUAAACCGCUUUCGCCUGUGACGAAGCGUGAGUGACGGUAAUGGGUAAAGAAGCACCGGCUAACUACGUG
rnacentral:rRNA from 1 species